UUCAUCAACAUUUGAAUAAAACAUUUAGGAGUAAUUGAGAGAUACAAACUGUUUCUUGUCCUUACAAGAUGGAAAUGUCAGAGCAUGUACUUCUCUUGGCAAUGAGCAAUGGUUUUGGGCUUGGAGGUCUCUGGUUGGGACCAAGAUUGGCCAAACCAAAAUCGUUUGCUGGGGUCUGUUAGGAGUGUGCUUAAAGCUUUUGUGGCUUUGGUACAGUUGUUACCAUAGUAAACGUUUUUGCUUACUGACAUGAUUACAAAUUUUGAUUAACAGUUUCAUGUACAGCAGGAGGAACCUGAAAUGAAACCAGCUUUGUAACUGUGGGAACCACACUAAAGAAAACCGAGGAAAACAGAUGAUAUUUUCACGUAAUUGGAAUAUGCUAAGGAGUGAAGAAAUUGCUGAUUCCUGAGGAAUUUGCCAAUUUUCUUUUCAAGCCUCUUUCUAACGCACUUACAAACGCAUAAAUUGUUCUAAUGCUCUUUCGGUCAUAAAAAGCGAAUCUGUAGGGGAAGAACUGUUUUUCCUUGUCAAGUUGGGCACCCUGCCUCGUUACAGAAAUGAAGACAGUCUGCUUCCUUCUCACCAUGCCACCGUGAUCAAAGGAGCAGGAUGCGAAAAAUUUCCUCGCUGGAACAUGCUGUUAUUCAAAGCCCUUUGUAGGCACCUCACUGCAAAACACAAGUGUCUGGUACAAGAUUAAAAAAGGCGUGCAUGUACUUAUUUAUUCAGGAUGGCAUUUUGCAUUCCAAAAAGAAACAUACGUAUGUAUCUGCACAUGUGUGUCUGUGUAUGCGGUCUCUAAAACUCAAUCUGUGGGGCCUUCUCCUUCCCCCGGGGCCAAAGCUGAGCCCUGAUGAGGACCUGUGCUGGCUGUGCUGGCUGCUGGCAGGGCUCUGCCAUCCCUCCUCUGUCACCAGGCAACGCUAUCAGCCAUGCUGCACGUGUGCGCUGGACAUUCAUCACCACUUUGUAUUUCCAGUUCUGCAUUUUACUUUAGAAAUGGAAGGUGUUCUUGAGUGAACAAGGUUUUCAUUGGAUGUCAGUAUGCAUUACCCAGCCUGCACACUCCAGCCCUGCUCCAGCCUCACUGGAUACGCAUCAGCCAUUGGUGGCAGUGCAAUUAAACUCUGACUCCCCCAGAUGUGUGGGGGGAAGUGUGCAAUGUCACCUGAACUGGGGACUUCACUAUAUGAAUAUGCUGCCAUCCAGUAAGCUGCAGUGAGACCCUAGCUGGUUUCGACGUCAGGAUUUGGAUGUGUGAAGAGGCAGGGUUGUUAUAAGAUAACUCGGUGCAUGACACGGCCAGCACGUGGUGAUCCAUCUGCAGGGAUGGACACGUCGGAACAGAUUUGAAAAUGUUCCAGGAGGCACAAGACAUGACUUCAGAAAGGGAGAAUUAUCUAUCAUUACCCUGCCUAUGGCUUCACUUUAUUACACAAUACUUCCAGUCUCCUACAAGAAUCUCCAAGAAAGAAUGUAGGGUAUAUGGCUCUUCUAAUCCUCAUAAAUCUGGAAUUAACCCAAUUACAGAGAAGGGCCGUCAUUAAAAAGGAGUGACUGUGCAACCACCUUUUCAACGUCACUGUCACUACACUGACAAUUUAAUUAAAACUGCAGUGCAUUUAGUUAUAUUAGUUCCUAUCAAUACAAAAGAUACAGAUAUUUUUUUUAUUUAAAUCUCACAAUGUACUUCAGCACUGCUAUGCAGAGAUUACACCAACAGAUUUUAUCAUUCCUGACGAUACAUGACUAUCUCAAAAUAAAAUCCUCAUCUUCACACGAGAUUUUCGUGCCAGAAUGUAAAUGGAAAUGACUAGGAACAAUCACCUUAACCACAGAAACAUGACUCUGAGUGUAUGAAGAUCGUGUUCUUUAUAUCAUACUCAACACUUCUGUCUUGUACACCUCUGGCUGGUGAAGGGAAAGAAAAGAGAGAAGAAAAAAAGGAAGAAGGAAAGGAAAGAGGAAAAAGAAAACAGAAUGUGAGGGAAUUACAAGGUAAACAAGUGGAGCCCGAAUCUGGUGGUGUUGGAUGCAAUUUGAUCUCAGCAGGAUAUCUCACUGUGCUCGGUCACACUGACCUGUUGCAGAUUGGUGUUUAUUAUAUUCAUUCACACUUAGGAAAGACAAUUGAAUGUUUAGUGGAAGGACAAUUACCACCCUGGAAAUCACCACUCUGCAUUUCUUAUUAGCACCAGAAGCAAGAUAUCAGGCAUGGUGAAGACAUGCUGCUCUGCCAAAGACUGAGAAACACACUUGGCUGCAGAAAGCUUGUGCAAGGCUGAACCUCUCAAGAGCAGAGCUGGCAGCAGGGCUCCUACACAGUGUUGCUACAAUGGCGCUGGGAUUGGAUCUGUUUCAUGAAAAGGGGAUGAUCUUAAUACAAAGUUAUGCUGUGAUGACUGCAGUCGGUGACAGAAAGCCGGAUAAACCUCAAGAUGCUCUGGCUUUGGAAAGAGCAUUGAUGAAACCUUCUGUCUGCAGGAAGAUGGUUGGCUGCCCAGUGCGGAUGGAGUGUGCUGAUGAGUAGGAGUUGCAAGAGACUGCAGAGCAGCCAGCGUAAGCCAGCACUAACAGGAGCUCCAUCUGCAAUGGCUUAAUCCUGAAUGCCCAAUCAGAAGUGCUCCUAGUCAGAAUUUGCAGCAGGAUCAGAUGGAUACAACAAACAUUUUGGAGAAGCCAUGACCAAGCUCUAAGCCAUUAUUUAUGAAAGAAGGCUUUCAGAGGAGAGAGGCAAAAGGAUUUGAAGAACUGUGUCAAGAGGGAUCUUGAAAAUGUCGUCAUUUGGUUCUGCUGACCGAGACUCCUGAACUAAUUACACCUGACAACAGGAGACUCAAAAUCAGAUAGAGCAUGAAAACUGAGAAACAAGCAAAUUAAGACAAACAUGCAUGAGCUAAAUGGAUAAGUUUUUCCCACUUGCUAGCAAUUAUGAUUAUAACACAAGCAGUAUGGCUGUUGAAUUAUGCAUCCGGUGUCGGUAAGAGCCACACAUUCAUUCAUUAAGACUCCUGCCAACCUAAUUCCCAAGAAAAAGUUUUUAUCUUCACUUUGACUUGCAUGAAUCUGUAGCAAUUCUUACAACAGCAGUGUUUUUUGGUUUGGAACUCUAAGGGGCUUAAUGUGGCUGCAAAGCUGAAAUGGUGACCUUUUAGCAACACCUAUCUAAAUCAGGAAUGCUGAAAAAGGUGGAGACCAUGCACAACCCAACCUGACUCAAAGCACUAGAAGACUCUGGAAGCAAGUGCCUGCAUCUAUAUUGGCAAACAGUGUGGUGCAACAGAUCUACUUCGUCUGCAGGAUGAAGUCCACUGAAAAAGAAACCAAAAUGAAAAAAAGAUAUUCUUCCUUUGCUGUAGCAUAAAUAGAGGCAGAUCUGAAUACUGUACUCCACUAGCUGUAACAACCACACCAAGUUAGCCAGUUUACAGGACUGUGGUCCAGGACAGCAAAUCAGCCCUGGAAAAACAUCAUUUAAGCUCAACUGCAGGUGAGCAAUCAGGAUCUAACUAACCUUUUUUUCCUCCCAUGGGGCUGAUUUGCAUGAGACUAAUUUAAAACACAGAAUAAUACAGGCAGUGCAUGAGCAGUUUAAAAGUUUAUAAAAUAUCCUAAUGCUCUCAGUCCUCAGACAGCUAAUUUAGAUUUUUGCUGUGGAUUAACUCGCAAGCAGUCCAAACUCGUCUUUCCAUUAACCCAUCUCGAUUAGCAAGAUCCUGACUGCCACAUGAGGAGGGAGCUCAGAUGUGCUCAUAUGGAUUUUGAGGCUGAAGUGCCCCGAUAACUGUUCUCCUUUGUGACAGAGGGUCCUUUUAAAUAGCUUCACUAAUCUGACGUACGGGUUAGAUGGGGAGGAAAAUCUUCAGUCACAUCAGCUUAAGAACUAACCUCCAGGAUAUGCAUUAAUUGAGGCAGUGCACACUCUGACAGAAGCCAGGGCAUGGUCUCAGGCAGACUUUGAAGGCUUAGAUCUCCUCCCUCUUCCUUAGACACAAAUGAUCAUGACAUAGUAGAGCAAUUAAAAAAAAAACCCAAGUACCCAAUAGAGGGGAGACAAAACAAUAAAAUACUAUUGAAAUGCAAUGCCUACUUAUAGAGGCAUUCAAUUAAUCAGUUUCUGUGCACAUGAGGUAACAUUAAAUACCAUCCCAGCAGGCUAUCCAGUAACUUUGUGAGUAAUAAUUACAGCUCCCAAAAAGGACACAGCAGGAAUACUGCUUAUCCAUCAGUGUGUGACUCUUUGUACAUGCCCACAGGAUAAAUUUUCUUAUGUGGAGGAGAAAAUACCCGCAUAAGGGUAUUCAAAGCUUGCUCUGAUACUGAGCCAGAGGUCUACAGUAGGUCUGCCUUCAUCCACUGCAAAAGACCAUGAUGAGAUAACAGGCUUCAGAAUAUUUUCAUAUGGGCCUAAUCAGGAUACGGUGCUGAAUGGAUCAUUAUUUGGACCUGAUAAUGCCAUUUUAUCUGAUGAUACAGCACAAUCUAUACAAGGGACAUUCAGCUGGUGGCUGUUAACAACUUCUGAAGCAGAGGCUGAUGCUCAGAAGCACCUCAAGUGGAUGACCAAACUGAAAGAGACCACAGCCUCCAUAAACAAUAAACACAAACUUGUUGGUGUGUUUCACUACACAAAACUGUCUCAUGCAAAUUCUGGGUGAAUUUUUUGAAAGAAGCAGCAACACUAAGUGACAGACCUGAGGCAGACCUACCUCAGUGCUGGGAAUGGCAGUGGGCAGGGAACGAUGCACCACUGCCACCUGCAAGGCCUCCACCCCAAUGGUCAGGAGAGGGCCCCCUUCUGCAGAAGUGACCAGCAAGCACCUUCAUGAACAUGGCCAUGUC